GAUGAACGCUAGCGGCAGGCUUAAUACAUGCAAGUCGAGGGGCAGCGCGGGUAGCAAUACCUGGCGGCGACCGGCAAACGGGUGCGGAACACGUACGCAACCUUCCCAUAACUGGUGAAUAGCCCUCCGAAAGGAGGAUUAAUACACCGUAACAUAACGAAGAGGCAUCUUUUUGUUAUUAUAGUAGCAAUACGGUUUUGGAUGGGCGUGCGCCUGAUUAGGUAGUUGGCGGGGUAACGGCCCACCAAGCCUGCGAUCAGUAACUGGUGUGAGAGCACGAACAGGCACACGGGAACGGGGACACGGGCCCGACUCCUACGGGAGGCAGCAGUAAGGAAUAUUGGUCAAUGGACGAAAGUCUGAACCAGCCAUGCCGCGUGAAGGAUUAAGGCCCUCUGGGUUGUAAACUUCUUUUAUCUGGGACGAAAAAAGGGCAUUCUUGCUCACUUGACGGUACCAGAGGAAUAAGCACCGGCUAACUCCGUGCCAGCCGCCGCCGUAA
rnacentral:rRNA from 1 species